CUUAAGAUCAGACAAAUCCAAAAGAGCUGCUGGAACUAGUCCAGAUUGUCAGCAGAACAUCACAGCUUGAUGAUGACAACUGGCUCCAAGAUCCUGAGUCUCAAUUGGGUUUAAAAAGUUAUUAAAGUGUAAAUGGGAAGAAAGUGCUGUUAUUUUCAUUUUAAAGCCAUUCCCUCUUGUCCUAUCAUUCUGCCUGUGAAGAUAUACUUUGAAAGUAUAUACUGAAAGAUGAUGAAGAAUGUGGAUCUAGGCUGGAAAGAGUAAGAGGCACGUAGGACAUGACAAGGCAGGCAAGCUGCAGUUUUCUGUAAGGUUAAGGAGGAUUCGGAUAUCUCUACUUCCUUAUCUGCUCAUUCACAAUUAUUGGUUUCAGCAGAGAGGCAGUCUGACCAAAUGACAUCUGAUGUGGAAGUGCGCAUGAAGCAAAGGUGUGUCAUUGAAUUCCUCCAUGUGGAAAAAAUGGCAUCCAUUGACAUUUAUCUAUGCUUGCUGAGUGUUUAUGGAGACCAAACAGUGGAUGAGCACAGUAAAGUGGUGGGUGGUGUGUUUCAACAGUGGCUGAAAGUGAUGUGAAAGAUAAGGCACGUUCAGGACAGCUACGAAAUCAAGAACAUCUCAAUCAACUCAUAUGUGCAGAUUGGUGG
ensembl:lncRNA